UCCCAGGUAGCUUAAUGGCAAAGCAUCCAACCGGCAAUUGGGGGAUCUGGGUUCAAGUCCCGGUCCGGGCU
rnacentral:tRNA from 1 species